CGGGAACACAAGAAGCUGGACCUGCACAGAGACUUUACCGUGGCUUCUCCCGCUGAGUUUGUCACACGCUUUGGGGGGGAUCGGGUCAUCGAGAAGGUGCUUAUUGCCAACAACGGGAUCGCCGCCGUGAAGUGCAUGCGCUCCAUCCGCAGGUGGGCCUAUGAGAUGUUCCGCAACGAGCGGGCCAUCCGGUUUGUUGUGAUGGUGACCCCCGAGGACCUUAAGGCCAACGCAGGUACCUGGGCCUUGACCCUC
rnacentral:lncRNA from 1 species